rnacentral:rRNA from 1 species
CUCCGGGUGAUCCCGCCGGACCUGACUGCUAUCGGAUUGGUACUAAGCCAUGCGAGUCGUUGUAGCAAUACAAGGCGGACGGCUCAGUAACACGUAGUCAACAUGCCCAGGGGACGUGGAUAACCUCGGGAAACUGAGAAUAAACCACGAUAGGUCACGAUUUCUGGAAUGGAUCAUGGCCUAAAUCUACAUGGCCCCUGGAUUGGACUGCGGCCGAUCAGGCUGUUGGUGAGGUAAUGGCCCACCAAACCUAUAACCGGUACGGGCUCUGAGAGGAGAAGCCCGGAGAUGGGCACUGAGACAAGGGCCCAGGCCCUAUGGGGCGCAGCAGGCGCGAAACCUCUGCAAUAGGCGAAAGCCUGACAGGGUUACUCUGAGUGAUUUCCGCUAAGGGGAUCUUUUGGCACCUCUAAAAAUGGUGCAGAAUAAGGGGUGGGCAAGUCUGGUGUCAGCCGCCGCGGUAAUACCAGCACCCCGAGUGGUCGGGACGAUUAUUGGGCCUAAAGCAUCCGUAGCCGGUUCUGCAAGUCUUCCGUUAAAUCCAGCCGCUCAACGGAUGGGCCGCGGAGGAUACUACAGGACUAGGAGGCGGGAGAGGCAAGCGGUACUCAGUGGGUAGGGGUAAAAUCCUUUGAUCCAUUGAAGACCACCAGUGGCGAAGGCGGCUUGCCAGAACGCGCUCGACGGUGAGGGAUGAAAGCUGGGGGAGCAAACCGGAUUAGAUACCCGGGUAGUCCCAGCUGUAAACGAUGCAAACUCGGUGAUGGGCUAGCCUUGUGCCAGCCCAGUGCCGCAGGGAAGCCGUUAAGUCUGCCGCCUGGGGAGUACGGUCGCAAGACUGAAACUUAAAGGAAUUGGCGGGGGAGCA